GGUGGGGAGAGGAGGGAUGGAGCAAGGGGGAGGUGGGGAGAGGAGGGAUGGAGCAAGGGAGAGGUGAGGAGAGGAGGGAUGGAGCAAGGGAGAGGUGGGGAGAGGAGGGACGGAGCAAGGGAGAGGUGAGGAGAGGAGGGAUGGAGCAAGGGAGAGGUGGGGAGAGGAGGGAUGGAGCAAGGGAGAGGUGAGGAGAGGAGGGACGGAGCAAGGGAGAGGUGAGGAGAGGAGGGACGGAGCAAGGGAGAGGUGAGGAGAGGAGGGACGGAGCAAGGGAGAGGUGAGGAGAGGAGGGACGGAGCAAGGGAGAGGUGAGGAGAGGAGGGACGGAGCAAGGGAGAGGUGAGGAGAGGAGGGACGGAGCAAGGGAGAGGUGAGGAGAGGAGGGACGGAGCAAGGGAGAGGUGAGGAGAGGAGGGACGGAGCAAGGGAGAGGUGGGGAGAGGAUGGACGGAGCAAGGGAGAGGUGAGGAGAGGAGGGAUGGAGCAAGGGAGAGGUGGGGAGAGGAGGGACGGAGCAAGGGAGAGGUGAGGAGAGGAGGGAUGGAGCAAGGGAGAGGUGAGGAGAGGAGGGACGGAGCGAGGGAGAGGUGGGGAGAGGAGGGAUGGAGCAAGGGAGAGGUGGGGAGAGGAGGGACGGAGCAAGGGAGAGGUGAGGAGAGGAGGGAUGGAGCAAGGGAGAGGUGGGGAGAGGAGGGACGGAGCAAGGGAGAGGUGAGGAGAGGAGGGAUGGAGCAAGGGAGAGGUGGGGAGAGGAGGGAUGGAGC